CAGGGGUCUGCCAGCCCCAGGGCCCACUCGAUCUGGUUGUACCAUGCUUCUGCUGAAGUUGUUGGGAGUGGAGCCCAAGCCCAGGACUAUGGGAAAAUCCAAGGAAGGAGGUGGCUUGGUUGCCCAGCUCAGCCCGGGCCCCUCUCUUAAGGGUGGCCCCAUACGGGCUAAGGAAGUUCCUGGCCACUGGAGAGGGUGGGGGAAAGAUGGAAAAUGUUCCAGAAUGGGUAAUACCUGUCCUAACCCAUCUUCCCCUCCCCCACCACCCCCCUCCUUAGGCCACAAACCCCCACGUUAGACAGCGGGUUCAUUUGAAAAUUGAGUUGCAGCUGGAUGAGUUGAGGGUAACUUCAAAGUUCAGUGGUGUUUAAUUAAAGCCAUCCAGAGACUGAAGCUGCUCUCGGGAAAUUAUUCUGACCGAUUAAUGAAAGAGAAUGAAGGUUAGAUUUGUGUUUCGGGCUAAGUCUGUGUUGCAUUCUGCAUCUCUGAAACAUGAAUUCCAUUAACCUUUCGUGAACCAACAGUAAAUUACUUUCAGUUAGUUGUCAUUCUAAUUAGAGUCACACAGGAGAGCCUUUGUUUAUACUUGGUGUCUGUUCCCUUUUCUGCUGGAUUCAUGUCCUCUUGAAGCAGCAGUCAUUUGGAAAAUCGGCUUAUACCUGUGUGUGUCUGCCCAUGCCUCCCUUGGUCGACCCUGUUCACUGAGCAUCCGAAAGUGCUGUGCCAGAGGAAGUAGGCCCCAACUGCAGCAGGAGGAUGGGGUUCCAUGCUCCAUGAAAGCAGGGGCUGUAUCUUUGUCAUCACUGGAUCCCCUGGUGGGCCCAGCAGUUCCUUGCAUGAGGUUUCCAAGUCAGCCCCAGCCAGUGUCGCCUAAAUGGACAUCCCUGCGCAGAAGCGGGCUCCAGUACCCUGUGACCUUCCCCAGCAUGCGUUCUGGCUCAGUGGCUGCGUGAACAUCAGAUUACUGUCCUGUGGUGACCGUCCUAGUGCACUAGGACAGCAUGGUGGCAAGCGACAGCUCUGGAGGCAGGACCCGGCUUCCCAGGUCACGUUUCCUUCUCUGUGGAGAUCAUCAACGUAGGAUUAUGAAGACUGAAUGAAUUAAUGCACGGAGAGCACUCGGCAUUAGCUGUGAUCAUUGAAUAGCGUUCAGUGAUAAGGAUGCGCCAUGUUUUAAUCAUUGAGCACUUUUUUUUGUUUUUGCCCAUUUCUUUGUUUUUGCCCUUUGCGAUAUGGAAGUGGUACUCAAGUUUUUCUGCCAGACUUCUGGAUUGGCAAAUUUAAAAAAGAGAACCUGACAAAAAUGUAAGCCAUAGUCUUCUGAGGACGCCACCCACGGGCACAGAAAUGAAACAAGCUGACAUUUCCAGGAGAUAGUGACACUUUCUUUUCCAUUUGGGAUUAUAUCUCUUUUUAUUCCUUUAUUUUCUUUAUCCUAGAGCAUGUAAGGUUAUUGUACAGGUCUGUUAAUGAGAGCAGAGUAGAAAUUCAGGUUUCCUUUGGAGAAGGUGAACUGAUUAGCACAAAAGGUAUAAAUUACCUGAGAUCCUGUGAGAGUGGGAGCUUCCCCUUUACAUACGGCUGCAUCUAUUUUGGGGGGGGAAUACCGGAAGACCUUUCUAUGCUCCCUGGAGACUCUUCCUGGGCAUCCGAGACAAAGUAGGCUUCUCCUGCUGGGCCCGGUGUCUGACAGACAUGCAGCAACCCCACCUACUCCUGGACUGAGGCUCGACAGACACAGGCCCUGUUCUCUAUCCGUUACCUUCCCAAAAUUUCUGUGACCUUUACCUCACCCUUCCCUGCUUGUUUCUGUUUCUAAAGGAUGUCUUUCUCCCAGUUUAAGUGGAAGAAGAGUGAGCUUUGAAGUUAUAAAACAAGAAGUCCCGGCACGGCCCUUAUCUAGCUAAACGAACAUGGGCCAAUUACUAAAUCUCUCCAAGCCAUCUCCUUGCCUACAGGGUAACUACCACUCCCCACAUCAGUCAAGGAGAGCCAGGGUGCCGGGCCGGCUUGGCCGCUCGGGCUCCUCCAGCGGUGGUUCUUGACCCAGGUCCUGUGUAGCUGCUCCUCAGCCUGUCGUCUUUGUCCUAAAGCAUGUUCUUCACUCCUCUUUCAGUUCCAGCUUUAAAAUGGAAACCUAGUUUCUUCUAGAAGUUAUACCAACACCUCAGUAUGUCCAAAAUGUAACUCAUUAUUUCCCCAUAAACAAGAUUUUUAGAUUUCCUUCUUUAUUCAGAGUAAAAAUCACAUCAAGUGGGUCUAUUCUGGUGCCCACCAGCCUUUCUGUCUCGGAACUGAAGGAAAUCCCUGCCCCAGGACAGCGUCUCGGGUUGGUCAGUAUAGGCGUCCCUCGGAGGAACCGCACGUUUGGUUCCAGGUCACUGCAAUAAAGCAAGUCACACUAGGUUUUUGGUUUCCCAGUGCAUGUAAAAGUUAUGAUUACACUAUAGUCUGUUACGUGUACAAUAGCAAUACGUAUUAAAAACACACCUAUGUACCUACCUUAAUUAAAAAAUACCUCUUUGCUAAAAAA